AGCGUUUCAGAAGAGACCCACCUUACUAAGAUCCAACAGGGAUUGAUCGUCGACUUGUUCAAGUCUUCAACCACGUUACAGUUUUCAAAGUGAUUUGUUAAACUCCAGCUGUUUCUGCAGCAUUCAAGACAGAGCAGUCUGUAGACUGAGGAUGGAUGCCCCACUGGUGCCAAGGGAGCAUGAGUGACUCUUCAGGAAGCCAGGUGUCGCUGUCAUUUCUAUAGUUUUAGAAGUUGUCUGCUCUGCACUCCCUGUUUACUCAGGUAAUAUUUUAUCCUUCCUGGAUCUCUGAUGAGGUUGUCCUUCCUGGAUCUCUGAUGUGGUUGAAGACAAGCUGUUCUACUCCCCCGGAAACAUGCUUACCAAGAUCUAGUGAGUGAAAGCUGUGGAUGGUGAUAAGCAUGCUACAUUGUAGAGGAAUUCUUCGAAAGCAAAAAUAUCAUCUGAGUUCCAACUGUCAGUAGAGUUCGAAGAAAAGUUCUGGAGACAGGUAAGCAAAGAUGGCUUUCUUUACUAGCCUAAAUUAGGAAACUACAAAUUAUUUUUAACAGAAUUCUGUUGAAUAAUAUUGAUAAUUUGCAUGAUGCAGUUUUGUGUGAAGCAAAAAAAAUGGUUUUAGUUUCAGAUAAUAGACUUAAAUUUUACUUCUUAGAUAUUAUGAACAAGGUAAACAGAAAGAUCUUUUCUGUUGUUUUGAGGGGUUUUUUAUAUAAUUUUUUAUUUUAUGUGCAUUGGUGUUUUGCCUGCAUGAAUAUCUAUGUAAGGG